UGGGGAAUAUUGCACAAUGGGCGCAAGCCUGAUGCAGCAACGCCGCGUGAGGGACGACGGCCUUCGGGUUGUAAACCUCUUUUAGUAGGGAAGAAGCGAAAGUGACGGUACCUGCAGAAAAAGCACCGGCUAACUACGUGCCAGCAGCCGCGGUAAUACGUAGGGUGCGAGCGUUGUCCGGAAUUAUUGGGCGUAAAGAGCUCGUAGGCGGUCUGUCGCGUCUGCUGUGAAAACCCGAGGCUCAACCUCGGGCCUGCAGUGGGUACGGGCAGACUAGAGUGCGGUAGGGGAGAACGGAAUUCCUGGUGUAGCGGUGGAAUGCGCAGAUAUCAGGAGGAACACCGAUGGCGAAGGCAGUUCUCUGGGCCGUAACUGACGCUGAGGAGCGAAAGCGUGGGGAGCGAACAGGAUUAGAUACCCUGGUAGUCCACGCCGUAAACGUUGGGCGCUAGAUGUGGGGACCAUUCCACGGUUUCCGUGUCGCAGCUAACGCA
rnacentral:rRNA from 1 species